UCAACAGAAAACAAUAAGAAAACAGGAAUUAUGAUCUUGGGCUGGCAUUUGCUGAUUCACUGUAAAUCAUGCCUUUGUUUUUGAACAAAUUGCUGGGAACCUAUCUCUACCUAAUGUGGUGAUGGGCUGUGCGGUGAAGAUCUGUUGUGUGAAAAUGCCAUGCUCCAAAAAUAGAAUUUAAAACAAAGCAGAUGCAAGGCAGAGAAUUUAGUAAAUACCGGAGCACGUUGGACAAAUGACAGGAGAGUGUUACUGCAUAAUUCUUCAUCCUCUAAUUAGAAAUUUUUAUACUGUGGAUGUGAGAAAUUUUGGGCCAAUUUUCCCCCGUCUCCCUUUCACACCUUGUGGCCAGCAAAGGACAACCGAUAAUCUUAAGAUAUUCAAGGGAGGAGGGCAGCCCUUCUUCUGGCAUGAACUCAAGCUUAGGAGAAUGCGAGAUCAACAAUUUGCGAAGAGAGGUGAAGUGUUGAAGCCCCGUAUAGUUCAGAGAUUUAAGAUUUCUGAGAUCUGAGAUUUGAAGAGAUUCAAGGGAGGAGGGCAGCCCCUCACCUGGCACGGACUCAAGCUUGGGAGAACUAGAGAUACGUAAUUUACGAAGGGAGGUGAGGUGCCGAAGCCCCUUAUAUUCCAGAUCUUCAAGAUUCAAGAUUUCAAGGUUUUCAAGGGAGGAGGGAAGCAUGUCUUCUGGAAGGGACUCCAGCUUAGGACUCUUGAGAAUCAAUGUGCGAAGAGAGGUCAGGUGCUGAAGCUCCUUGUAGUCCCGACCUCGUUGAUCCCAUAAUUGAAGGCAUUCAAGGGAGGGAGGCAGCCCCUGCAACGAUGCAAGCUUUGGACAAUUCCAGAUCUUCAAUUUGCGAAGAGAGGUGAUGCGCUGAAGCCCAUGGUUCCAGAGAUUCCAGUGUCAUGACAUGAAGGUAUUCAAGGGAGGAGGGAAGCGCCUGCUCUGAUAUGGACUCAAGCUUAGGGCAACCCUCGAUACUCAAUUUCCUAAGAGAGGUGAGGUGAUGAAGCCCCUUAUAGUCAAGAGACUUCAGAUUUCCCAGACGUUUGAUUUUAAGGGUUGUGAGAGUAGAGGGCAACGUCUCCUCGUCAAAAGACUCCACAUCGUUCCCAGUAAAUCUGAAGCAUGAAAGAGAAGGGAGUGCUUGCAAACCACAUACCUUGAGCUUGAUACAAUCCACAAUGCAAAGUGUGUGUAAUUUGGAGGGUAAGGCCUCCUUCAGGAAACGAAUCAACUUCUGGAAGUGAUCUCAAUUGCAAAUCCUCAAGGGAAGGGAGGAGGGAAUGCAUGUUUUCUGGCAAAGACUUCAAAUAUAAGCAACCCUCUAACACAAGGCUUGUCAAAUCUGGGGCAGCUAGUCCUUCUCGGGGGAAAGACACCAAAUUAGGACAGUGUCUGACAGUCAAAUGACGGAGACCAGGAAGAGAUCUCUCGCCUAUACAAAGAGAUUCGAGAUUGAGACAUUGUUUGACUGUAAGUGUGGAUACCUGGGGUAAAAGGUCUAGCCGGCAGGAGUUAAAUGAACUACAUCUAUCGAUUUCAACAUCUGUGAAAGAAGAGGGAUCCACAUGACUCAUUUGCUCCAUUCCCUUCAGUUGGGGAUAUUCUCUAAAUUGAAGGCACCGCCCACCGCCAUAUAAUACCGAUGCAUUUAUACGACCACUAGAACCAUCAAAUACAUUGAUUUCGGUGAGCAAUGGAGCCUCUGGAAUUGAAACCACAAGCUGUGGACACGCUCUAAUCUCAAGUAUCAAUAAAGAAGGAAGGUGAUUAGGCAAGCCAUUUGUUAACUCGGGACAACCUGCUAUCAAGAGCUUUGCAAGAUGAGGGAAAGCACCAGCUACAUCUGUAUUCCAUUCCUGCCAUUUUUUCAUCCCCUCGAACUUUAAUAUUUUGAGGGAUUUAAAUGGCUUCUCCAUCAAAGAGUCACUCCCAUAGAACUCAGAGCCAACCGCCACGACUUCAUCAAAUCCUUUAAUUUGGAGCUCUUCUAGAGAUGAAAGCUGCCCCAUUGGUGGUAAGGAGAUGCAGUUCUUACAUCCAGAAAGUGUCAACGCUACCAUAUUUGAGAAGGAAGAGUUUCCAAACCAACCUGGAAACAUCGUACCCCCAUAACCAGUAAUGACAAGAUGUUUCACAUUUUCAGAAGGCUCCAAUUUCUCAAGCACGUCUCUCUCAUGUUGUGUGUCAUCCGUAUUACCACCCCAUAUCAACCUCAGCUUCUCAAUCUUCUUCUUACCCUUCAAAUUGGCAUCCAAAGCAUCUUGAGCAUUUGCGACAUCUCUGAGAUUCCGAAUAGAAAGUUUUCUCCUUAUAUGUGAGAGCUUCCCCAGCUCUUUCAUGCUAGACCCGCUAUCUUUUCCCACAAUGUAAUAUUGCAAAGUUCGAAGCUUCGUGAGUUUCCCCAUUUUUGGUGGCAUCACUUUCAAAUUUGUCCCUUCAAUAUCAAGAUGUUGUAACUCGACCAAGUUCGAAAUGUUGGAUGGCAACUCCAUGAGAUGUCGACACUCUCUUAACAACAGAGUUUGCAGAUAGUACAAGGUGCUCACACUUUCGGGCAACCGUUUAAUUAAUGUCUGAGAAAGGUCCAAGUGCCGCAAAUGUUUCAAGUUGCCGAUGGAAUUGGGCAACUGAGAAGAUUUAUAGCUCCACCGAUAUAAAGAUAGCGUUCGCAAGCGCUUAAGAUUUGUCAACAUGUCAUUCAGCACCCCACUAUCAAUCCCCCCCACGUAUGUUAGUGGAGACAAGGUGCGCAAAUGUUGGACUCCAUGAAUGCGAGGAAAUAUCUUAGAGACCCCAUCAUAUAGUGUUGAAGUGAUUGAUAAAUGACGAGUCCUUUCUGGAAGCGUGCAUGAAUUUUCACCCUCCAACCAGAGCCCGAUUCUCCAUCCAUAACAAACUUAAAGCAGAAUUCUCCUGACAUGUAUUCAGCUAGAUCACUUGUGAGGUCGUGCAUGCUGAAAUAUGAUGGGGCGUAAAGUGAUUGCUGAAACAAUGACCUAGAGACAAGGUCAUUGAAGUAUUUGUCACCUAUUUCUUCCAUCUCCUCAACACCUCUGGACUGGACUAGAAAACCUUGUGCCAUCCAUGAAGUGAUUACUUGAUUCUUCUCAAAUACAUAACCCUUGGGAAAUAUUGCACAAUAAGCAAAACAACGUUUGAGGUGUGAAGGGAGAUAAUAAUAGCUCAAUGUUAGAGCUGGAGGGAUGUUUUCAUUCGACAAACCCCACAUGUUGCUAUUGGAUAUCUUCUCCCAUUCCUUGACAUCUCCUUCGGAAUGCAAAAGACCCCCAAGAGUUUUCGCUGCCAGCGGUAAACCUUUGCACUUUCUCGCUAUUUCUCUGCCAAAUGUUUCCAAGUGUGAGAAUGCUCCAGAAUUUGCACUGCUAAAUGCAUGCCUUGCAAACAACUGCCAGCAAUCUUCAUCGCUGAUUACAUUCAAGCGGUGAGAGGGGAUGACAGUUUGCGUGACUUUGCUACAUCUUCAUUCCGUGUUGUCACGACAAUCUACUUCCAGGCUCUGCAUACUGCAAAGGUAGCAGUAAUUUAACCCAUUCAUUGUACACAAUGUUCCACGCAUCAUCUAGAACAAGUAGAAGUUUUUUCCCUUUCAAUGCCUCCAUUAGAGAUUCAUCUGGUUCUUUGGUGCCGCAAGUACCUGCGUUGAUCUUCUUAAGAAUAUCAUCAACUAUCCUGGUGACGUCAAAUUGUUGAGAAGCCCAGACCCAGGCUUUGAGCUCGAAGCACUCAUCUACCCUUCUGUCUUUGUAGAUAAGCUGAGCAAGAGUGGUUUUACCAACCCCUCCCAUGCCCACAAUAGGAAUCACACCUACAUUUGCACCAUCUGUAUUGUUUUUUGUCAACAAGUACUUCAUUAUGGCUUCCUUAUCAGCUUCCCUUCCAUAUACAUGAGAUUCAUCAACCACAGGAGUUGUUUUCUCUGACAAUGGUCUCCAUCCACCAGUACCUUCUAUGUGGCGCAGAUCACCCUUGUGUUUAACUAAACGCUCAAGCUUCUCAUAGAUCUUUUGCAACUCUGCUUCCAUCUCUUUCAUCCUUUUAUUAGCUGGAUUAAGAAUUGGAAACAAAUUCCUUACCUGCAAUGGCGGAACAUAUCCAUGUAUAUGAGAUAGAAUUUAGGAACAUAUAAAUACUAAAAUUAUUAAACUCGUACCGAGUAAGUUAACACAGCUGCAAUGAUGUUUUUUUAUAAAAAAUAAAAAAAUUAAAAUGAGAUUAUUUUUUUAAAAAAAGUUAAGUCUAACCAAGAUUCUAAUGAGAUGAUAGGAUGGUGAAUUAACCCUCCAGGUUACUAAAAAUUGAAAGAUAAAUUCAGCAAUUAGCACAGUAAACAUAAAAAAGUGAUGCAAUGAUAUUUUUUUGAAAAAGCUUUUGAAAAAUAGUAUAUUUUCACCUUCUCACACCUAAGAAAAGCAAUAUUUACUAAAUUUUAUUAUUACUAAGCAUGACAAGAUAGUUGUCGUACUUCGGAAUAGCAACAUUUAGUAAAUAUUGUGUUUUUAAAGAGCGUUAAAGUGAAACUUCAAUCAUCUGAAUCAAUUAAUUGACCUGUUUAUAAUGGUUAGUGAAAUCGGUUGACCAAUCUUGAAAAUGAUAAGAAAAAUCUCAAAAAUACCAAAAUCAAGGGGCCUCGAUGAGAUUUUUGAUAUCUAGAGAUUUGAUAGUUUACAUAACGACAUAGUGGCUACAAUAGGGAAGAUGAUUUUUGAAAACUUCUAUACAAGUUUGAGUGCGAUCUAACAGUCUAAUAAAAAAAUAUAGCUUUUUUAGUUGUUAUUCUGGUAUGGCGGAACCAGAUCUCCUCUUGAGCCUUAAACUAUCUCAUCGGUCCGUAAAUGCAUUUGUUAGAUCAUACACGUAAUUCGUUUAGGAUAAAUUCUCAUUUAGUUAUGAUAGACACACACAUGGCUAUUUAGAAUCACUUGUUAUCACAAGUCUUUAUACAUCAUUGACAUUGAAAAAUAGAUAAUAAUUACUGUGUGAAUAAUAAUUUUUUAAAAUUUUAAUUGAAAUCUAUUUUUUUAGUCUACAUAUUGAACACAUAUAUAUUUUGACUCAUAAUUAAUAUUUGAAAGAAAAAAUUCAUAAAAUUAUAGUUUUUAUGUGAAAUAGUCGACUAGUUAAUACAACUGAAUCCAAUCAACCGACCAGUUGAACAACAUUUACUAAAUGUUGUCAUUUGAAAAUGUGAAAAUAUGCUAUUUCAUAUUUUUCUUUUUCAAUCGGUGUUAUUAUACCAAUAUUUAACAUUUGUUGUGCUAAUUUAAAAAAAAAAUGAAUGGUCAACUUUGAUUUUUUAAAAAAAAAAAUAAUUCAAAUUCUAGAUUGAACAUGUUUUAAUUAAGUUGACAGCUGGGCCAAGCCAGUGGUUGGAAUUUGUUGGAAUAAUAAUGAGUAGUGGUUGCAGGAGAGUAUCAUAGGAUUGGUUGCAUGAGAUAAAUUAGCAUCAUUGGGUGUUGUUUGCAUGAAAUAUUUCAAGAAAAGAUAUGAAAUUUUCUGAUAUUUUACAAUUUCGAAUUGUGCUUGUAAAAAUCAGAGGGAUCGAUACUAACAUUAUACGAGAAAGGCAAAAACAUAUGCUUACCGGAUUCCUCACACGUCGAGAGGCAGCUUUAAUAUCCUUGGAUCGUAGAUGUUCAUAUUCAAUCACCUCCAUUAAGUCCUCAGCUUCAUACACAGCAUGUCUAGCAUCAUUAAGCCACCUCUGCACAGCAGGCUUGGUAAUCUGCUUCUCCUCCGCGUCGUCGAGAAGUCCGUUGAGAGUAUUCAGUGUUUCUUUCAACUUUCCGAGAAGACCAUCAUUGAGCUUGUGGCUUUUGAAGAAGCCCAGAAUCUCAGGAGUGGUCACCUUCUCGCCAGAACCUCAAUGACAGCGGAGAGAAUUGAUCCUCCAAUGUACUCCACAGCCAUGAUGGGAUCUUCCAGAGAAUUGGAAGGAAGCAGAAGCAAAGAAUUGUAGAGAAGAAGAUAGUGAAGAGAACAAGACGUUUAACGAAUGGAAAAGGAAAGAAAAAUCAAAGUAAGUACGCGGGUUCUCAGUUGACUUCACAGCUCAGCCACUCGAAACUAUUGACCCCAGAUUAUCACUAUACAAUUCAUCGGAUACCCUACGAGUUCAGAAAAGACAGUUUCUAAGCUCGAGUGAGAGUAACCUUUGAAUAGUUUCUUAAUUUUUAAUAAAAAAAUCUAAAUUUUUUAAAAACACAUAUUGACUUGCUUUUCUAAACGUUUUAUCUUCGUAAUCUCAGGUAGGAAGCCCACAGGAAUUUGCAUAGGCAGCAAGGAUCAAGGGAGACAGCUGGGAACCUUGACCUCAAAGACCCAAAUAUUAAUUUUAAUUUCUCAAUUUCUUUCCAAGUAUUUAAUAUUGCAUCACUCUCCCACUCUACCGAGUCGUUCCUCGAAUCUUCUCAAGGAAAAGGAUUUAAAAAAGAAAAACACAAUUUAUUAGCACAGAUUGUUUUGUCGGCCAAGAAAAGCAACCGUGAUAAGUGGGGAAGUUAUCAUUUUCUUACUUUUGUGGUGUAAAAUUAUUGAUAUGAAGCUAUCUGGUCAAUUAUCAAAUUAACAAACAAUCUUCCUUUGACGUUGACUUGUCGUCUCAUUUGCCUGAAACCAAGCAUACGUUGUGGAAUUGAAAACUAAGCAAAGUUGCAAUAAAUCUCGUAACUUAUGGAUUGAUUUGGUUCUACGAAGGAGUAAUAUCACAACCAGCUUUGAAAAAGGUGUUGUUUUCGUAGCAUUUAUUUUUUAAAAUAUUUUUAAUUAAAAAUAUAUUAAAAUAAUAUUUUUUAAAUUUUUUAAAAUUUAUUUUUAAUAUUAUUAUAUUAAAAUGAUUUGAAAACAUAAAUUAUUUAAAAUUAAAAAAAAUAAUUUUUUUAAGAAUAAUUUUGAAAUGUAAAAACAAACGUUGAAGGAGGUAUUUGAGAGCAUUAUAGUGGUUAUUUUACUUUAAAAAUAUAUUAAAAUAAUAUUUUUUAUUUUUUAAAAUUUAAUUUUUACUUCAACACAUCAAAACAAUGCAAAAUUAUAAAAAAAUAACCUUCAACAAAAAUAGUUUAAAUUUUAACGAAGAACCCGCAAUUCUAAGUGGGACAAAAUAUAACAAUGCAAGGGAAAAAGGCUGUCAAGUGUGGCAAGGCAGAGUUCCGAAUAUGACAAUAAAGGAAAGCAAACAUCCGACUAUCUUUGUUGUGGCUCCGAAUGGAUCUGUUGCUCGGAUAGGGGAAUGUAGCAUUUCGGCUAAAUUAAACUUAAUUUUUCUUUAAUUAAGUUAAUUAAACUUAUUAAAUUUUUAAUUAAAUCAUUGAAUUUAAUUAAUCCUUUUAAUUUUGAUCAAAUUAACUUUUAAAAUUAAUUUUACUAUGGUUUAAGCUAUUAAUUAAAUUAAUAAGACCCAUUAAAAGUUCAAUUAAGUUUCUAAACUUAAUUAUUUUGCAAGUCUGCCCAAUACUCAAUAAUAAGACCCAUAGUUAAAAAAAAAUGCAAACAGUGCCAUUCUAAUAGAGGUGAGGUAAUGAAGCCCCUGGUAUUCAGGGGAUGAGGGCAGCCACGACUUCAUCAAAUCCUUUAAUUUGGAGCUUUUCUAGAGAAGGCAGCUGCCCAAGUGGUGGCAAGAUGCUGCAGUUCUCACAUCCAGAAAAUGUCAACUUUACCAUAUGUGAGAAAGAAGACUUUCCAAGCCAGCUUGGAAACGCUGUACUCCCGUAACCAUAAAUGCAAAGAUGUUUCACAUUUUCAGAAGGCUCCAAUCUCUCAAGUACUUCUCUCUCGUGCCGUGUGCAUGUCAUCCGUAUUGCCAUCCCACAUCAACCUCAACUCCUCAAUCUUCUGCUUACCCUUCAAAUUGGCAUCCAAAGCAUCUUGAGCAUUUGCAACAUCUCUGAGAUUCCAAAUAGAAAGUUUUUUCAUUAAACGAGAGAGCUUCCCCAACUCUUUCAUGCUAGACCGACUAUCUUUUCCCACGAUGUAGUAUUCCAAAAUUCGACGGUUUGUGAGUUUCUCCAUUUUUUGUGGCAUCUAUUCCAAAUUUGUCCCUUCAAUAUCAAGAUGUUGUAAGUCGACCAAGUUGGAAAUGUUGGAUGGCAACUCCAUGAGAUGUCGGCACCUCUUUAACAAUAAACUUCGCAAAUAGUACAAGGUGCACACACUUUCGGGGAACCUUUCAAUGGCGGUGCAAGAAAGUCCAAGUGCCGCAAAUGUUUUAAGUUGCCAAUGGAAUUGAGCAACUGAGAAGAAGUAUCUUUUAUUUGGAUAGAUAAUUAUUUGAUUAAAUAAAAAAUAUAUUUUAAAAAACAAAGUUAUUAAACAUAGCUGAAUGCAUGAACUUGUUAUGAAAUCAAGUAUCCUUGUGUUUUUUUUUAAUUUCAUCCUUCAACAUGUAAUUUUUUUUAAUUGGUAUUUGUGUUUUUUUUUUUUAACUUUUCUUUCUAUAAAAUUAUCUCAAUCAUGUGUUUAUUGUCACGAGGUUACUGUAUUUAUAUAGUUUGACCCAUGUCUUUUUUUUUUAAGUUUCUUCAUUCUAUAUUGGGUAUGAUUUUUUUUACCUUUUGUUAGUGUAUAUAGUUGUUUGAUAAAAAGAAAACUCUAGGAAAUAUAGUUGUUAAACACAACUAGAUACAUUAUUCAUAUUAGAGAUUAAAUAUCUCAAUUUUAAUUAUCUUUUUAUAAAAUAUUGAUCUAAUUACUAAUAUAUGUAUAGACAUUUCUAUUUAUUAUUGAAAAAUAUUUUAUAUUAAAAAUGUAUUGUAAAAUCUAUUUAUUAAUUUUUUUAUAUAUAAAUAAUCGCUUGGCCGCGGAGCGCGGGUACAAAACUAGAUACAUGGUCUAAAGAAUGCAACAAGGGUUCGGUUGUAGAUGAGGAUAACCUCUAAUAUGAGGAAAUAGGUACCAGGGCAGCUCCUUUUCUGGCAAGGGACCAAGCUCAGGACAAUCCCAGAUACUCAAUUCGUGAAGAGAGGUGAGGUGCUUAAGCCCCUUUACAGAUUUCAGAUUUAUCAGAUCUGAUAUUUUAAGAGAUUCAAGGGAGGAGGGCAGCUUCUCUCCUGGCACGGACUCGAGCUUAGGAGAACUACAGAUAUGUAAUUUACGAAGAGAGGUAAGGUGUCGAAACCCCUUAAAUUCCACAUCUUCCAAAUCACAGAUUUCAAGGUCUUCAAGGGAGGAGGGAAGUGUGCCUUCUUGAAGGGACUCAAGCUUCAGGCUCCUCCUUAUCUUCAUUUUACGAAGAGAGGUGAGGUCUCGAAGCUCCUUGUAGUCCCGGUCUCGCUGAUCCCAUAACUGAAGGAAUUCAAGGGAGGAAGGCAGCCCCUGCAACGAUUCAAGUUUAGGACAACCCCCGAUCUUCAAUUUGUGAAGAGAGGUGAGGUGCUGAAGCUCAAUGCAGUCCAGAGAUUCCAGUUUACAGAGAUGAAGGCAUUCAAGGGAGGAGGGCAGCGCCUGUUCUGAUAUGUGCUCAAGUUUAGGACAACCCCCGAUCUUCAAUUUGUGAAGAGAGGUGAGGUGCUGAAGCCCAAUGUAGGCCAAAGAUUCCAGUUUACAAAGAUGAAGGUAUUCAAGGGAGGAGGGCAGCGCCCGUUCUGAUAUGGACUCAAGUGUAGGGUAACUCUCGAUACUCAAAUUUCUAAGGGAGGUAAGGUGAUGAAGCCCCUUGUAUUCUAGGGAGGAGGGCAGCACCUGUUUUGAUAUGAACUCAAGUUUAGGGCAACUCUUGAUCUUCAAUUUGCGAAGAGAGGUGAGGUGAUGAUGCCCCAUGUAGUCCAGAGAUUCUAGGUUUGUGAGAUUAAGGUAUUCAAGGGAGGAGGGAAGCGCCUGCUCUGAUAUGGACUCAAGCUUAGGGCAAUCCUGGAUACUCAAUCUCUGCAGAGAUGUGAGGUGAUGAAGCUCCUUAUAGUCCAGAGAUUUCAG
rnacentral:lncRNA from 1 species